CUUAUGGCCAAUCAAGUGUGGCUGGGGCAUGAUAGAAGGCUAGGCUCCUGUCCAAGAACCCAGGCAGGGCUCAAGCCCAAGUUUCAGGCACUGAGGUCUAAGGCCAGCCAUGGGGCCAGGAGAUAGUUCCUGAAAUAGGACAGAGAUCAGAGCUGUGACCCAGAGUAGAACUUCCCUGCUCAGCAACAAGAGCAAACAUGCCUGAUGGGCCACAGCGCGUCCUGUGUCUGCCUCUGCCUGAGCCUUGCUGAGCGCCAGGUCUCACAGCAGACCCAAGCUGGUGUCUUGGGGUUCAGGAAGCAAACCUGGAGGAGGAGGGCUGCAGACUUCAGGACCUGGAAUCAGCCAAGAAAACAUAACUAGUCCUGUGAAGAAGCAUGAAUAUAUAAUUGAUAAACAACAGAAAAAAAAAUAGACAACAGACACACAAAUCAUUCAGCUAUUGGAAUCAGUAGACGGAACUUUAUAAUAAUGAGUGGAAGAACUGGAACUCUCAUGCACUGCUGGUGGAAGUGUAAAAUCCAUGUAUCUGCCAGAGCACACUAAGGAUACAAAAACUACACAGUACUUUGGACAGGAAAUUUUACUGUGAAGAAUUAUUAAGGGGCUUCCUUGGUGGCUCAGCAGUGAAGAAUCUGCCUGCCAAUGCAGGAGACACAGGUUCGAUCCCUGAUGGGGGAAGAUCCCACAUGCUGCAGUGCAACUAAGCCCCUGCACCACGACUUUUGAGCCUGUGCUCUAGAGCCCAGGAGCUGCAACUAUGAGGCCACGUGCUACAUCUACUGAUGCCUGUGUGCCUUGAGCCUGUGUUCCGCAACAAGAUAAGCCACUGCACUGAGAAGCCCAUGAACUGCAACUAGAGAGAGAGCAGCUCCCGCUCUCCACAUCUAGAAAAAGCCUUCACAGCAACGAAGACCCAGCACAGCCCCCAAAAUAAAUAAUACAUUUUAAUAUAAAGAAUUAUUAAGGAUAAGAGGAGACUGCCUAGUAAGGAGAAAAGAUAACCCUAAAGAAUAUAGUUAUAGCAGAUGUCAGGAGUAGACUCUAGGGCUGAGGCAGAGAACCCAAAGGAGGAACAAAGCUGAAUGAGUCCCAGUCCUCACCUUCUACCCCAGGGCUGAGAAUCUCCAUUGUUGGAGAUUAUGUAGCCAUGACCCACGGGAUGAUGAAGAACGGCCAGUCUCAAAGACAAGGCAGGCCCUUUGUUCAAGGUCCAUGCAGAUGGAAUUUACUGGAAAGCAUUUUCCUCUUGGUGCUGAGGGAAGUCAUCCAUGGAAGGGAGUCACACUGUGGAAACAGCUGGAAAUUUUCCCACAGGAAUAAUACAUUGGAAAGUCAACCUCUGAGGUUUUGGAGGAAGCUGCACAUGGAGAUAUGCUUUGUGUUUCUGACUGCCACAUGCUGCAGGAACCUGCCGAGGAAGACAUCAGAACCAGAAGAGAAGCCUCUUUCUCCUACGGUGGCUGCCAUUGCUCCCUACUGACAAACCUUGACACUGUACUGGAUGGCAAGGGAGAAAUGCUGGCAGGGCCCAGCUCCGUUAGAACAGGGCAGGUAACUGAGAACGGGCCUGGAGGUCAGAUCUCAACAAUAUUGAUUCUUCCUCUCCACAAACAUCCUAUCCAGACAGCAUAUUAAAAAACAGAGACAUUACUUUGCCAACAAAGGUUCCUCUAGUCAAAGCUAUGGUUUUUCCAGUAGUCAUGUAUGGAUGUGAGAGUUGGACUAUAAAGAAAGCUGAGCACUGAAGAACUGAUGCUUUUGAACUGUGGUGUUGGAGAAGACUCUUGAGAGUAACUUGGACUGCAAGGAGAUCCAACAAGUCCAUCCUGAA
ensembl:lncRNA